ACUACAUUUGAUAGCACAGCAGCAGUCAAAUUUUUUUAUAAUGCAGCUUCAAAGGAACAAAACAAACUUUCCCUCUUGUCUAUAAAGGAGCAGGCAGCUGAGACGUCAGCUACGUGGCCUGAGACUAUUGUGAUUACUUCCCAUGUAUGAACUCACUGAGCGCUAAAAACAACCCCACCAAGGAAUUCUAGGAAUAAAGUCACACAUUACCCGAAAGAUCUCCAGCAGAGGCGUUUCUGGGCCAACGUUACUCACCUACGGAGAGUCUGCAGCUCCUAGCUUGGAUGAAAGGAAAGUUUCAUUAGCUUUAUUUACUUCUUCCGACGUAAUUGGUCAGCAGAGUAUAAAUGCUGAUGUCAUGUCUAAUUAGCGGUGGCCUCUGCCCUUCUGGUCACAGCACCGCGUCUGGCUUGUUUGUGUGGAUGGAGCAGUUUCACGGGGAGCGUCUUUAUGAACUAGCUCUCCCAUGGAGCUGCUCUAAUUAUCAUUUAAGAAAACAAGCGUUUUGAUGUUGUGUAGACAGUUCAGCAACAUCUCCCCAGCAGGGCUGAUAAUUUUAACACCCUUUCAGUACAUGAUGGGCUUUUUCCACAGGUGAUCACAUCAGAUCCUGGGGAACCAGAAAUUGGGAACUCAUGUCUGCUCCUCUUUGUCGUGGACACCUUGCUGAUCUUGGCUCCAGUCGGAUCCGUCAGGUGCUCUAAAGCUAAUUGUAUUGGCAUGGAUUUUGCCAGGCAUCCAAAAUUCAGAUUAAACAACCAAUGCAAUCAUCA
rnacentral:lncRNA from 1 species